rnacentral:rRNA from 1 species
AUUGAACGCUGGCGGCAGGCCUAACACAUGCAAGUCGAGCGGAUGAAGGGAGCUUGCUCCUGGAUUCAGCGGCGGACGGGUGAGUAAUGCCUAGGAAUCUGCCUGGUAGUGGGGGAUAACGUCCGGAAACGGGCGCUAAUACCGCAUACGUCCUGAGGGAGAAAGUGGGGGAUCUUCGGACCUCACGCUAUCAGAUGAGCCUAGGUCGGAUUAGCUAGUUGGUGGGGUAAAGGCCUACCAAGGCGACGAUCCGUAACUGGUCUGAGAGGAUGAUCAGUCACACUGGAACAGAGACACGGUCCAGACUCCUACGGGAGGCAGCAUUGGGGAAUAUUGGACAAUGGGCGAAAGCCUGAUCCAGCCAUGCCGCGUGUGUGAAGAAGGUCUUCGGAUUGUAAAGCACUUUAAGUUGGGAGGAAGGGCAGUAAGUUAAUACCUUGCUGUUUUGACGUUACCAACAGAAUAAGCAGCGGCUAACUUCGUG